UGUAGCAAGGUUAACCGAAUAGGGGAGCCGGAGGGAAACCGAGUCUUAAUUGGGCGUUAAGUUGCAGGGUAUAGACCCGAAACCCGGUGAUCUAGCCAUGGGCAGGUUGAAGGUUGGGUAACACUAACUGGAGGACCGAACCGACUAAUGUUGAAAAAUUAGCGGAUGACCUGUGGCUGGGGGUGAAAGGCCAAUCAAACCGGGAGAUAGCUGGUUCUCCCCGAAAGCUAUUUAGGUAGCGCCUCGUGAAUUCAUCUCCGGGGGUAGAGCACUGUUUCGGCUAGGGGGCCAUCCCGGCUUACCAACCCGAUGCAAACUGCGAAUACCGGAGAAUGUUAUCACGGGAGACACACGGCGGGUGCUAACGUCCGUCGUGAAGAGGGAAACAACCCAGACCGCCAGCUAAGGUCCCAAAGUCAUGGUUAAGUGGGAAACGAUGUGGGAAGGCCCAGACAGCCAGGAUGUUGGCUUAGAAGCAGCCAUCAUUUAAAGAAAGCGUAAUAGCUCACUGGUCGAGUCGGCCUGCGCGGAAGAUGUAACGGGGCUAAACCAU
rnacentral:rRNA from 1 species